rnacentral:tRNA from 1 species
GUCCCCUUCGUCUAGUGGCCUAGGACACCGCCCUUUCACGGCGGUAACGGGGGUUCGAACCCCCAGGGGACGCCA